CGCACGUGUGACUGUGCAGCACGAUGAUUGCUUAGCGACAGGGUCACGUUGGGAAUCACUUCCGCCGACAGAUAAAAAGGUAACAACAACAAAGUUAGCUGCUAAAAGCUUCAACAAGAUGUAGACAUUAACUUGUAUGGAGGAGAGGACUGAGCAGAGCACAUCUGGAGACAAACAUCCAGCUGCAGUAAAGAGCAGCUUCCACCAUAUUGACCACAUUAGGACGCAUAUGACCGAAACUUGGAGAAAGUGGAGCAACAUCCUCAACACACCUCCACCUGACAACACACCUCCACCUGACAACACCAGGCCUUUACUUUGAAGCCCGCGUCCCACCCGUCAGGCUGAAUCCUAAAAAGCCGCUGCACAAGUGAAGAAUCCCUGACUGAGAGGAGACAGAACAAACUGCGUUUUAUGGACCGUUUCUCAUCAGAAAGAACCGAGUCCAGGGCGAAGACAACAUGGCUGAACUCUCCGGCUCGCCUCUAAUCUCCCACAGAUCAAGGAGUCUCCACUCUGGCCGUUCUUACCUCUGAAGUCGGCUAUCUGGAGUCUGAUAAACCCUGCAGAGAUCUGGACCCGCAGGCUUCGCUGUGCUGAUGACGUGUCCUUGAGCAAGAUACUAAACUACCACCAACUCAGGUCACAGAGUCGAAGGUCAAGGCAUCGCUGUCUGAGGAGUCGGGGUUUCCUGAGUUGGAGUUCCUGGUCAGAUAGUUCCUGCACAGGAGAGCAAAGUUCACAGAAAAAGUGAUUCUUCAUUACUUGCGCGCUCGCUGCAGCAGCUCCUCCUUCCGCUGCAGCAGAAACGUCUGUCGCUGCUCCGCUGACGUAGAAAACCGAAUCUCUGUAUCUUCGUCCAUCUUCUCCUCCUCAUCAUCACCUUCCUCGUCUUGCUCUGACG